ensembl:lncRNA
GUGAAGAACUAUCUGGAUGGUGGGGCUCAAAGAGUCGUAGUGAAUAGAGUUCACUCCUGCCGGUCACCAGUGGUAUUCCCCAGAGUUCAGUAUCAGGGAUAGUUUUAACAUUUUUACAUGCACCUUUUACAUGCUUGGGCAUGUGCAGGGAAGAGUGAAGGGGCUAGAAGAUAAGAGUUCUGAGGACUGACUGAGAGAAGAAUGGUGUUUAGUCUGGAGUAUUAUCCAGGGACAAUACCUGGCUGGAUACCUCAUCGCUCUCUACAACUACCUGGAAGGAAAGAUAUAGACAAAGAAGGGGAUAAGUUCUGGAUUGGUUUGCAGAAAGGGAUGAUUGCAAUACUGGUAGGGUUGCCAGCAAAGGCCUUUCAGGGUCAAGAAACACGUGAGUUCAAUUUUCAGAAACAAGACGGAUUUUCGUAUGUUCACUUACAAGAAGAUGAUGUGUCACAGUGUUGCAGCAGAAAAUUAGAGGUGACACUAGCCAUCAGUAUUUUUAAGUAGCAUUUUUAUUACAGCUUUUUUUUUCCAGAGAGUUACAUCAUAGGUACUAAAUCUGUAAUGAAUGUUAUCUUCCUGUUAGAUUACACUACUAUUCAUCUCUUGUGAUAUCUAUCAAACAUGAGUUGGUUGCAGUGUUUCUUUGGAAACAUUGAAAGUGCUGUUGGAUUGCAGGCAGUUGUCUGCCACAAAAUAUUACCUUGUUUUAUAUGCAGUGUUAUUCACUAAUGAACAAUUAAUGAGUCCACAGAUAGUAAAGAUAAGUGUUUUAUUAAAUUCUGGCUCAAAUUGAAGUUUUAAAGCUACAAAUCUCUUCCUUCACCUUGAACAUAUUUUGAAAACGUGUAUAAGUAUGUGUAUAUAUAUCUGAUAGAAGCAAUUUAAGUUUUUUAAACAUCUACUAUUGAGGCUGAAAUAGUUUUUCACUUAUGAAAGAAAAGGCUUAUUGAUACUUUAAUUUUUAUGAUUUGAAUUGCAUACUACUUAUAGAAGUAACUAUAGAGUGUGAAGAUCAAAUGAGCUUUGGUUUGGUAUGUUAAUCUUGUAUACAUCUGGACACAUUAGUCUGUUUAACAAUCUGUUAGCUCUACUGUUUGUAUUAGCUAAAAAUAAUUAUAAACUACAUAAAUUUAAAAACAUUAUGAUCUUGGUUCUAAAAAAGAUCAAUGGCUGUGACAAUGCUUUAAAUGGAGAUAAAUGGACACCUCAAUUUUCUUUUCCCCCUGGCAAGUAUAUGCAUUUAUUGUCCCUUAUUGCCAAUAACGAUAAAGGGAAUUCCAUGUCAUGUUCUUGUUAAAGUGUUGGCAAUUAAUUGAUUGAUGUUAUUAAGCAAUCAGAGCAUGCCUCUAUCUGCUGAUGUCUUAUGAGUGCCAGGCAUCUAGAAAGCAGAGCAUUACUUCAUCUGAUUUUAUAACCUUUUUUGAGGUCAACACAUUAAAACCAGUAAAAAUUUCUUUUAAUGAGAUAACAGCAGUAGCAUGGUUACAAAGCUCAGAAUCCAUUUCCUAUGCAUUAUUUUCCUCUAGAAUAUUGGUAACUUUCAUAUCAAGUAAAAUAACCUUGAUAAAAAAAAGCUGCUUUUUUUUCUAGACAAAAUAGGAAACUUUUUCUCUUGCAAAAAAAAAAAGGCUUUUUUGCAAGAAAAACCAUUCUUGAUGGUUUUUUUCUUGCAAAAAGUCUGAAGCAAAUGUAGCUGUGUUCCAUCACAAUUCCAUGAUCUUGUCUGCCAUCCUGUUUUCUUUGUGUUAAUGGUGUAGUUAGUUUGAGUUUGGCAGGCUGUCUACAGUACACUGUUUUGAUAUUAAAGAGGUAUGACAGUAACUCUCCUUUAUUUUAGCCUAAAAUUGUUCUUGGUGAGAACUGUAGCUGUUACUUAGCCCUCAAAUGGAAGUUGCUGGUCAGAUUUUGAAUUUUCUAUGCUAAUUCAGUAGAUGCUGGCUGACUCUAAUUUACUAUGCUCUUUCUUUUACUGUUAAUAUUUUAGCUUCUGUAUAACACAGUCUCAUCUCCCUAAUAAAUCAUAAUUCUCAAC